AGAUGAGCACCACAGCCUCAAUAGUCGCCUUUCACUGGACUUAACUGUCCAGGGGUCCUUCCUGAGAGGAAAGAACCCCAGUAGGGAGCCACCAAAGUUGACUAGAUUUAUGAAGAAUAUAUGUUGUGGUAUAAUAUUUACUUUACCUAAAAUGACUGUCAGAACGAUUUUUGUAGUGUUCCCUCUGCAAGGGCAGAUUUUAUACAGAUGCUUUAUUUGCAUUAGAGCUAUUUUACAAAUAAAAAUACAUGAACCAAAACAACUGCUGGGGAAGUUUAGGUUGCAUCCUUUCCUUUGGGUUGAUGGAAACAAAAUUGAACUAGGGGGUGUGGCAAUAGGUGGCACCCAGCCAAACAGCACCACACACGUCAGAAAGCCUACCCACACAAUGGACUUUAGUUCAUCCACAGUUGUCAACAACCUUUUGGAAAGAGCAAAGCAAAGCAUCCACCCAACGGAGAAGGCAGGCCAGGAAGCAGCCUUUGGACUUGCAGUCUGACCCAGCUUCCCCCCACCUUCCAAAUUCCCUUCCUUUCUAGGAAUCUUGGUUAGGAGGAAAGAUUAGCAAUGUGAAAUGCUCAGUCCAGCUCACCCACAGCCUUUGCUCACCCCAUUUUGUUCAUGCAACACCGGCACCUCAAUCCCAUCUGGUCUCAGUUGCACGAGGCUCAGGCAAAUCCCUUCCCACCCUACUUACAUCCAGAGCUUUUUUUCUGGGAGUGCUCAAGGGUACCAAUACCUUUUUUCUGGAAGAAAAGCGCUGCCUACUUUGGGUCUCGAUGCAGCCUCCAUAGAGAGCAUGGAAUGUGUGUGUGUUUUGCUGCAAAGGAACCAGUGGGUGGUAGAAGGUGGAUGUGGACAGCUAAACUGUGUGUGAGAGAGAUGCCUCAGUUUCCCUGUUGCUGUUGCCCUAACCCAGCAGGGUCAGUGCUUAGGGAUUAUUUGUAUAUCCACCCAGUUUUAUCCCACUCUGCCACCCAAAGGAGCCCAGGGCAGCAAGCAUAUCCACAAUAUAGCAACUUUUAAAAAUACAGUGGUACCUUGGGUUACAGAUGCUUUUGGUUACAGACUCCACUAACCCAGAAAUAGUACCUUGGAUUAAGAACUUUGCUUCAGGAUGAGAACAGAAAUCGUGCAGCAGUGGCGUGGUGGCAGCGUGAGGCACCAUUAGCUAAAGUGGUGCUUCAGGUUAAGAACAUUCAGGUUAAGAACGGACCUCCGGAACGAAUUACCAUAUUUUUCACUCUAUAAGACGCACUUUCCCCCUUCUAAAAAGUAAGGGGAAAUGUGUGUGCAUCUUAUGGAGCGAAUGCAGGCGGGAGGCUCUGCUCAGAGCUCCCUUUAAAGAGCCACGUGGAGCAUGUGUGCGGUUCUUGGGGGCUUCCCCCCCGUGCGCUCUUUCCCUGUGCGCUCUUUAAAGGGAGUGCGGCUCUUGGGGGAGCCUUCCUCCAGCUGGCCAGGAGAGGCUGUACGCGGCUAUCCCACGCCCUCUGUCCCUUCCCCCACCUCCCGCAAAAUCCAGCAAGAGCCGCGCUCCCUUUAAAGAGCGCAAGGCGCUUGCGGGAGGUGGGGGAAGGCACAGAGCGUGCGGCUCUGUCCCUCUCCUCACCUCCCAGAAAAGCCCCCAAGAGUCACGCUCCCUUUAAAGAGCGCACGGCUCUUGCUGACUUUUGUGGGAGGUAGGGGAAGGACAGAGGGCAGCCACUCAGUCCCCCCCCACCUCCUGCAAAUGCUGGCAAGAGCCGCGCGGAGCGUGUGUGCAGCUCUUGGGGAAAAGCCUGCAAGCGCUGCACACACGCUCCACACGGCUCGUGAAAGGGAGCGCUGAGCAGAGCCUGGGAUGCGCUCUCUUUAAAGAAUAUUUUUUUCCUUGCAUUCCCCCUCCAAAAACUAGGUGCGUCUUAUGGUCAGGUGCAUCUUAUGGAGCGAAAAAUACGGUAAGUUCUUAACCUGUUAAAAACAGUUAAGCCAUUCUAAAACAGCUAGAACUCCUCUGCUGGCUGUUGGUCUGUUUCCAGGCACAGUGCAAACUGCUGCUGUAAGGAAGCCCUACAUGGCUUAGGUCCAAGCUAUCUGAAAGACCAUAUUCCCUCCUGUGAACCUCCUGGGUUUUGAGAUCUUCGAGGCAGGCCCUUCUCGUGGUCCCGCCUUCCUCCCAGGCAUGCUUGGUGGGGAUGCAGACUCUGGAACUUCCUCACCAGAGAAGCUAGACUGGCUCCCUCUUGGCUCCGCUUCUGCCGGCAGGUGAAGACUUCCUUGUUUCAACAGGCUUUGGGGAAUUGAUUGCUUUUGGUUAAAGGGCUGGUGCCAUGCUUUUUUAAUUUAAUUUAAUUUUAAUUAUUGGUAUGUUUUAAACAGAUUUUUAUACAGAACUUUAAUUCUGUCAGUGUUUAAUUGUUUUUAAUGAUUUAUUUUUUCUAUGGUUUUAGUGGUUCUUGUUUUUAUUUGCAAGGUGCAUUUUUCAGGGGAAAAGGUGGAGAAUAAAUUAUUAAGAACAGCAACACCACAAUGGGAGUUGUAGUCCAACAUCAUCUAGUGACCAUAGGUUUCCUAUUGCUGUUGUGAAGAAUGCCAGUAUUCAGCCUUUGCCCAUCUCUUCCUCUGCCUCCAUAAUUUUUCUCUGCCUGGCUCAGAUUACAGUCCAAGCUAGCUAAGACCUUUUGCUCCCACUCAUCCCAAUGCUUACCUGGCUAGAAUACUGAUGACUUCCCUCCACUCCACCUUCCUCCUCUCUCCUCCUUGGUGAGGAGGGGACAGGAGCAAACAAUAACAGGUAGCACAGUCAUCUCUUAAAAUGGAUGAGGAAGUCAGAGAGACCUUGCCUACAGGAUAGGGAAGAGGUUGAUACCUAGUUGCAUUGUCAAAUGACAGUUGACAGUGUCACAUGUUGUAGAGCUAACUAGACAACUGGGGGCAGUUUGUCUAACCCAGUUCAGAAUCAGACCAGGUAUUAUAUUUUAAAAUUAUAGCUGUAUGUAGUCGCCCGACCAGUUUCUUUAUAAUAAAUGCAGCUAGAGACAUCUAGUGGUGUGUACAUAAAGUGUGUUUGCUUCACAGGGGUUUUAAAGAUGCUAUGGUGUCGAGGGGUUUUUAGUAGUCAGUGGACUUUUAGAAUUUAAUACGUGACAUUACUGAACCCAGGUGGUAACUCUCCAGAAAUAGGUAGAGGUGUCCGGACAGCUGCUGUUGAAAUUCACAAGGUACUUAGAACUUCACUAUAUUCACCCACAUUUACAUAAAAUAAUGGUUUUAUAAUACCAGCAUAUUGGGGAAGAUUUGGGUUUGUCUUAUAUUUUACUUUAUGCUCUUAACUGGUAUGCUGGAUGAAUUUUUUUUUGGGGGGGUGGAUGGAUAAGCACUGUUACAUCCUAAUGAUUUUCUUUUAAUCUCUUCACUUAAUGUACUACAGUGGUACCUCAGGUUAAGAACUUAAUUCGUUCCGGAGGUCCGUUCUUAACCUGAAACUGUUCUUAACCUGAAGCAUCACUUUAGCUAAUGGGGCCUCCUGCUGCUGCCAUGCUGCUGCUGCAUGAUUUCUGUCCCCAUCCUGAAGCAAAGUUCUUAACCCGAGGUAGUGGUCUGUAACCUGAAGCGUAUGUAACCUGAGUUACACUGUAUAUUAUUUGCUUACUGUUAAAGAAAAACUUACCUGAUUGACAUUCUGAUGGAAACAUCUUAGAAAUGGCUUUGCUCCAACCUCCAGAAUAUCCUGAAAUCCACGGCGCUGAAAACACUGACGGUGUUUUCCUCUGUGACACCAAAAUAACAUUUGUAUCUACCCUGCACUAUCUGUGUUAUCUCUCUCUUGUUAUUGGUCUUGUUAUUUUUGGUAUCUCACCUUUCCUCAAACAGAGCCCAGGGUGGUUAACAACAUUCAUAAAACAUAGCAU